UACAGAGGUCUCAAGCGUUGUUCGGAUUCAUUGGGCGUAAAGAGUGUGUAGGCGGUGCUCUAAGUUCGGUGUGAAAUCUCCCGGCUUAACUGGGAGGGUGCGCCGGAAACUGGAGUGCUCGAGCGUGGGAGAGGAAAGAGCGGAAGUUCCUGGUGUAGCGGUGAAAUGCGUAGAUAUCAGGAGGAACACCUGCGGUGUAGACGGCUUUCUGGACCAUUGCUGACGCUGAGACACGAAAGCGUGGGUAGCAAACAGG
rnacentral:rRNA from 1 species